rnacentral:sRNA from 1 species
AAUCGGGUACGCCUGCCCGAUGAGGUCCUCCU